AGCCCGGUGGUGUAGCGGUCAAUCACGGGAGGCUCUGGACCUCCUUACCUAGGUUCGAAUCCUGGCCGGGCUACCA
rnacentral:tRNA from 1 species